GAAGCUCAGUUUUUCGGCAAGAGUUAGUUUCGUAUGAGUGUGUUUCGUCUGAAGUGUUUCGUUGAGGGGUGUGUGUGUUUCAUGAAGCUCAGUUUUUCGGCAAGAGUUAGUUUUGUAUGAGUGUGUUCCGUCUGAAGUGUUUCGUUGAGGGGUUGUGUGUUUCGCAAAGGUUGUGUUUUUUUUGCAAGAGUUAGUUUCGUCCAAGUGUGAGGAAGAAGAAGAGGAGGAAGAGGAGGAGGAGGAGGAUUUCUCUUCUUAAUAUCCAUCUUCUUCCUCUUCCCUUCCCUCCUCCUCCUCCUCCUCUUCUUCUUCUUCCUCCUCUUCUUCUUCUUCUUUUUCUCAUAUAUUCCUCUCUUCAUCUUCCCAUCUUCCUCCUCCUCCUCCUCUUCCUUCUUCUUCUUUCAUCAUUUCUCUCCCUCCUAUCUCCUCCUCUUCUUCCUCCUUCCCUUCCCUAUCCUCCCUUCCUUCUCCAUCUCUUGUCUCAUGUCUUUCCUCCUCUUCCUCUUCCUUCUUCUUCCUUCAUUAUUUUUCUCCCUCCCCUCUCCUCCUCCUCUUCAUCUUCUUCCUCCUUCCCUUCCCUAUCCUCCCUUCUUUCCUCUCUCCAUCUCUUGUCUCAUGUCUUUCCUCCUCCUCCUCCUCUUCCUUCUUCUUCUUUCAUCAUUUCUCUCCCUCCUAUCUCCUCCUCCUCUUCCUCCUCCUUCCCUUCCCUAUCCUCCCUUCCUUCCUCUCUCAUGUCCUUCCUCCUCCUCCUCCUCCUCCUCCUCCUCCUCAGUCAUUCAUAAACCCCAGAACAUAUCCGCAUUGCUCUCUAAGUACACACAACAUGACAUUCAAGCACUCACGUAACAGACACUCCAGCGUUCCCUAUUAACCAGGUACAAGUUAAUUCAUCUAUACAAACCCUUAUGUAUAUAUAUUGUGAGUUACGUGUCAUCUAUAACCACUCCCGUUUUCUCUGUAUUUAAUGGUGGACUAUGAUUUUUUUCAGAGUUAGUUUAGACCUCAAUCCAGAACUAAUGCUUUAUAUCCCGGUUAAUUAUGGAGUAUUAGUCGUGUGAGAAGCGUUACGUCUGUAGUAUAGGCGAUGUAAUUAUUUAUGUAUUGACGCAGCGAUGUGUGUGUGCGUGUGUGUGUGUGUGUGUGAUUUCGUAUGUGUACACAGAGGAAUGUUACGAUUAUGUUAUGUAUAUUAUUAUUAUUAUUAUUAUUAUUAUUAUUAUUAUUUUGCUUUCUUGUGAUCUGUGUGUGUGUGUGUGUGUGUGUGUGUGUGUGUGUGUGUGUGUGUGUGUGAUUUCGUAUGUGUACACAGAGGAAUGUUACGAUUAUGUUAUGUAUAUUAUUAUUAUUAUUAUUAUUUUGCUUUCUUGUGAUCUGUGUGUCUGUGUGUGUGUGUGUGUGUGUGUGUGUGUGUGUGUGUGUGUGUGUUUGUGUGUGUCCAGUCAACCAUCGUACAAUCCGCUAUACAAAUUCCAAACACACUUAUGUAAACCGAAUUCCUGUUUUCUAUAAUUACCGUAAAAAAUUGAAUUACCAAAAAAAAAAAAAUUCACAGUUGCUAUAAUUACCAUAAAAAAGUUAAUUAUAAAAAAAAUCACUAUAAUUACCAUAAAAAAGUUAAUUACCAUAUAUAAACAAAUUCACACUUGCUAUAAUUACCAUAAAAAGCUUAAUUACCAAAACAAAACAAAUUCACACUUGCUAUAAUUACCAUAAAAAAGUUAAUUAUCAUAUAUAGACAAAUUCACAGUUGCUAUAAUUACCAUAAAAAAGUUAAUUAUCAUAUAUAGACAAAUUCACAGUUGCUAUAAUUACCAUAAAAAGCUUGAUUACCAUAUAUAAACAAAUUCACGCUUUCUAUAAUUACCAUAAAAAUCUUAAUUACUAUAUAGACAAAUUCACACUUGCUAUAAUUACCAUAAAAAAAUUAAUUACCAAAAAAAAAAAAAUUCACGCUUUCUAUAAUUACCAUAAAAAACUUAAUUACCAUAUAUAAACAAAUUCACACUUUCUAUAAUUACCAUAAAAAACUUAAUUACCAAAAAAAAACAUUCGCUCUCUAUAAUUACCGUAAAAAACUCAAUUAAUUUCUAAAACUUAAGAAUAUACAUAGACUUUUUAACACUCUGUAUGUCUGUUUACCUUAAGGCGCCGGAGUAUGGAUGUCGCGAGCUUGUACAGGGAGGAAAAAAAGUCGUGUCGCACUGCCAGUCUUGCUAAAGGGGACCAAGGCGGGAGAGAGAGAGAGAGAGAGAGAGAGAGAGAGAGAGAGAUUUACUUUCUAUGAUUUACUUGAUCUGAUUAUUAUUAUUAUUAUUAUUAUUAUUAUUAUUAUUAUUAUUAUUUCCAUUAAGUUGACAUUAUAAUCUUCCUCCUCUUCCUCCUCCUCCUCUUCCUCACCCCCCUCCUUCUCCUCCUCCUCUUCCUCACCCCCCUCCUUCUCCUCCUCCUCUUCCUCACCCCCCUCCUUCUCCUCCUCCUCUUCCUCACCCCCCUCCUUCUCCUCCUCCUCUUCUUCCUUCCUCCUCCUCCUUCCUAAGAUAGAUACAUAGAUAUAGAUAUUUUUUGGGUGUUAUUGUAUAGAAAUAAGAUUAAAAAUUGUGACGAUUUUAAUAGAUGCACGAUAGUUCUCUCUCUCUCUCUCUCUGAUGAUAUGUAAAAGCUGUGAUGAGGAAUGAGAAAAAAUAUAAUAAUAAUAAUAAUAAUAAUAAUAAUGAUUGCUAAGGUGUGUAAUUAUGUAUGUUUUAUUAUCCAAAGUAUGUGUGUGUGUGUGUGUGUGUGUGUGUGUUCUCAAUCAUCCGUCUCAACUAAUUAUUUUCUUUACAGGGCCGAGUCAAAUUAACCCCGUCCAUUGCAAUCCCUUGAUCACAUCCUCCCUCGCCUCGCUGCACACGCCUCUCUACUCAAGCUCAUCCCUAUACCGUCCAAAUCCCAUACGCAGGACUUAACCAGCAUCUUCACUUCACCAUUGUAGAGCGAGUGAGGCAACGCGACCCUUCUCAGAGACACGGCAGUCCAGUCCUCAUUGACAGAGCGGCUUGGUCGGAUAGAUUUUGAUCGCCGAUAGAGUGGAGUGGGUCUGUCGGCACCCUGGUAUGGGACGCCUUUGGUUCAGGCCCGUGCAAGGAAGGGAGCAAUCUUUGGAGUGAGCCUUCUCCCAUUCCCUCCACACACACACACACACACACACAGGAUUAGUUAAACAAGCAUAUAAGCAAAUCUUUUUAUUAUUGGUAUUGUUAUAAGCACUGGGUAGGUCUCUCUCUCUCUCUCUCUCUCUCUCUCUCUCUCUCUCUCUCUCUCUCUAAUGUGCAUGUGUGUGAGAGAGAAUCACCACAGGAUAUUAAGUACAUAAGCAAACACACACACACACACACACACACACUUACAAUAUUCCUAUUCAGAUAUUAUAAAAAAAAACAUGUUUGUGUGACGUACAGCAAUCAUAAUAGGGAAGAAAAAUUACAGUAUAUUCUCCUUAACAAAUUUGAGUUUAGUUAAUAAUAAUGUUUUUUUUCUUUCCAGUCAAAUACAAACAGAUGAGAUUUGUAUUCAGAAAGGAGAGAGAGAGAGAGAGAGAGAUUGAAAGAAAGCAAAAAAACACACACACACACACACACACACACACACACACACACACACACACACGUUUUCAUAAGUUAACAAUAAUUCAAGUUCGCUAUUUUUUUCUUUUCCUUCAGUAAGCUGCAAAUGAUUCCUUGGUAAGCUUUUUUUUAGUAAUACAUAUUUUUCAAGCUUGUCUAUAUUUCCUUCCUUCCUUCCUCUCUCUCUCUCUCUCUCUCUCUCUCUCUCUGAAGCUGCAAGAUUGAUACUAAGCUCAUAAACUCAAACUUUGCAACACACACACACACACACACACACACACAGCAACAAGCAAAAUUACGGUUUACAUGACGUGUGCGCACCGGAAACUGAGUAGAGAGCGUACACACACACACACACACACACACACACACACACACACACGAGAUAGGCACAUGACAAUAUAUGAACUUAAUCUUCUUCUUCCUUCUCCUUCUUCUUUUCUUUCUUCAAACUUGCAUGCGUGGAGGGAUGACUUGACUGACGGACUGGCGGAUUAAGACUAGGAGACUGGUUGAGGUGUGGGGGGGGUGCUGGGGAGGAGAGGAGAGGAGGAGGAGGAGAAGAGGAGGAAGGGGAGAGGCAGAAGGGACCCAGGAGUUCAAGGUAUAAGGAGGUGUUGGCAAUACUGCAAGGAAAGGAGAAGGUGGUUUGACAAGGAGUGUUUCGUGGGACCAUUACCAGCGGACUCGUGUCGUCAAAUUGUGUUCCGAUGAUGAGGGGAGAGGAAGAAGGGAAGAGAGAGGUAGAAGGAAAGAAGGGAAGGAAGGAAAAAAUGAGAGAGAAGGGAAGGAAGGAAGAAGGGAAGAGAGAGGUAGAAGGAAAGAAGGGAAGGAAGGAAAAAAUGAGAGAGAAGGGAAGGAAGGAAGGAAGGAGAGAGAGAGAGAGAGAGAGAGAAACAAAGAAGGGAAGGAAGGAAAAAAUGAGAGAAGGGAAGGAAGGAAGGAAGGAAAGAGAGAGACAGAAAGAAAAGGAGAGAAAAGACUGAAAUUGAGAGAGAGAGAGAGAGAGAGAGAGAGAGAGAGAGAGAGAGAGAGAGAGAGAG